rnacentral:rRNA from 1 species
AACGAACGCUGGCGGCAUGCCUAACACAUGCAAGUCGAACGAGACCUUCGGGUCUAGUGGCGCACGGGUGCGUAACGCGUGGGAACCUGCCCUUAGGUUCGGAAUAACUCCCCGAAAGGGGUGCUAAUACCGGAUAAUGUCUUCGGACCAAAGAUUUAUCGCCUUUGGAUGGGCCCGCGUUGGAUUAGCUAGUUGGUAGGGUAAAAGCCUACCAAGGCGACGAUCCAUAGCUGGUCUGGGAGGAUGAUCAGCCACACUGGGACUGAGACACGGCCCAGACUCCUACGGGAGGCAGCAGUGGGGAAUAUUGGACAAUGGGCGAAAGCCUGAUCCAGCAAUGCCGCGUGAGUGAUGAAGGCCUUAGGGUUGUAAAGCUCUUUUACCCGGGAUGAUAAUGACAGUACCGGGAGAAUAAGCUCCGGCUAACUCCGUGC